rnacentral:rRNA from 1 species
GUGUCAGCAGCCGCGGUAAGACGGAGGAGGCUAGCGUUGUUCGGAAUUACUGGGCGUAAAGCGCGCGCGGGCGGUUAUGCAAGUCAGGGGUGAAAGCCCGAGGCUCAACCUCGGAACGGCCUUUGCGACUGCAUGACUGGAGACCGGGAGAGGAGAGUGGAAUUCCCAGUGUAGAGGUGAAAUUCGUAGAUAUUGGGAAGAACACCAGUGGCGAAGGCGGCUCUCUGGCCCGGACCUGACGCUGAGGCGCGAAAGCGUGGGGAGCAAACAGGAUUAGAUACCCUCGUAGUCC